AGGUGAGCCUGUUUCUUCUCCCUAGGCACACGGGGAAUCGCACAACAUUCAAGGAGCCACAGAAGCACGGGUUUGCUCCAUCACCUCAGACCUGGUGCAGGAGGCUCAUCAGAGUGUCCGGGUAUCCAAGCAGCCUCAGGAUUCUGGCGGCUCAGCCAGAGGACCUGCCUAUGGGGGAACACACUUCCUUCCAGCUUGCCUGGAGAUAUUGGCUCUGCUUCCCAUAGAGACUCCUCCUGUCACGCUCAGGGAUGGGGUGGUCUCUGCGUCAGAUUCUUGGCUGUGUUGGGCACCACCUAUGAUUGCCUGCCAAGGGUGUGGGCGAGAUGCCAACUUCUGAGCUGUGGUGGACACUGUGGCUGCUCAGGAGGAGGAAGUAGUGUCACCACAGAGGAAUU
rnacentral:lncRNA from 1 species